rnacentral:rRNA from 1 species
UACAGAGGGGGCAAGCGUUGUUCGGAAUUACUGGGCGUAAAGGGCGCGUAGGCGGCGCGACGAGUCACUUGUGAAAUCUCCGGGCUUAACCCGGAGCGGCCAAGUGAUACUGUCGUGCUCGAGUGCGGAAGGGGCCACCGGAAUUCUCGGUGUAGCGGUGAAAUGCGUAGAUAUCGAGAGGAACACCUGCGGCGAAGGCGGGUUGCUGGGCUGAUACUGACGCUGAGGCGCGAAAGCUAGGGGAGCGAACGGG